ACUGACUCUGCUUCUUUGCAAGUAACUUAGUUUUACAGCCAGUAUUAGAAUACUGUCUAUUGCCACUACAGUACUUUGAGAAUGAGCUGUUCAUGUUCAGCGACUAUCUUGGAUUGUUUCUCAGCGAGUCUAUCAGUGACCCAUGCAUGGACAAGGACAGAGAAGGAGUCAAUCUUUUGUAGCCAUUACUGGCAUUAGUUUAGAGUUUACUGAGUGACGUUGGCCUAGCGAGUAGUACGUCGACUGAGAAUACUCAGGCCAUGCAGAGCUCGGAAAAGCAAAGGGAGCCGCCAGCAAGGACAGCGUGUUUGAAAUGCUGCUGUCAACUAAUACAAAAUAAUUACUUACUUCCUCACCCCGACGUGGCGGAAACUCGUUCUGACAAGUUAAUUGCAACUACCGUAGCGUCUGGAGUCAGUUGCAUGAUUGUAUAGCAAGGGAUGAGAAAGCCUAUCACCACAAAGGUCCGACGCCCAAGGUACUGACGUGACGCACUAUUCAACAGUACAACUACACCGUCAGACUGGGCAGCAGCUGGGCAUAGCUCUGCCAGGAACCUGCCUGUGAAACCGAGGCUGAUUUCAACAGAGUCAGAGGCUUGCGGUGUGUCUGCAAUGAAUCUGAUCAUAGCCACGGUAUGGUAGUGACUUCACAAAGGGUACACAUGGAUUGUGGGUGCGGUCAGGGCUACGUCUUACCAAGCCAAGAUAGCGUAUAAGGCACGAGCUUUGAAGUCGGAAGACAAUGACGGUUGUACAGUCUCUGGCGAGAUAACCACCUCAACAUACUGAAGUAGAGAGAACAUCCCUGGCCCGUAGCAACGUCUCAGGCUUGGUCAACGUGGCUGAUUUCAAAUUUAUAUUUAGACAUUUCCAUUUUCAACGCCCCCAAAAUUCUAGCCGUGAUUUUUGAAAUUUCUGCGGAGUACUGUACUGUGAUUUUUAUAUCAGCAAAUAUGGACGUGCCUGAUCUCUCGCAUAUUUGUCAUUUCAACCUUUGUGUUAGGUCGGAUUGUAGCUGCAGUGAAUAUACUACUGUCAAAGACUGCAGGCUCAUGCUUUCAUAUCAUCUUCUGGAUGUCAUCCGUCUUAUGUGUCGCACUAUGUACAUGUAUGCCAUGAGGCAUGACUUUAUCCAGUGGUUUCACAUGGGUUCCCUCCUUUGUCAUGUGUAAUCCUGAUUGUUGAUCACAACAUAAUUAUGUUGAUCUGGAGAGCCUUGAGCUGACGAAAAAGAUCCAAUGUGUUACCUCUGCUAAUGCUGUAAGUCAUUAGUAGUUACAUGUACAUCAGAUCAGGCCAAGCUGCUACUCCCAAUACUGUAGUGAGCAGCAUGUGUGACUACACCAUUGCUUUGUCAUAGCCAACUUCUAGAAUUGAAUUACUGCGUUGAUUUUAGUCCUGACGGUGGCUGUGAAAAAUUUCCAGUAACUUCUUCCCUAACAAUCCCCUUGAAUAUUCAUAUCGACUCGGAAUUUGUAGUAUUUUGCUUUUCUCUAUGCAUACAAUUCCGGUGUUCACGCUAUUUCCAUUGUUUAUGAACUGGUGUUUUGACGGUGAAUGAAUAACUUGAGAGUUUCCAAUUCGGAAUGUUGUAUU